ACCAUGCAGUCGAGCGGUAAGGCCCUUCGGGGUACACGAGCGGCGAACGGGUGAGUAACACGUGAGCAACCUGCCCCUGACUCCGGGAUAAGCGGUGGAAACGCCGUCUAAUACCGGAUACGACCCUCCGCCUCAUGGUGGUGGGUGGAAAGUUUUUCGGUCGGGGAUGGGCUCGCGGCCUAUCAGCUUGUUGGUGGGGUAACGGCCUACCAAGGCGAUUACGGGUAGCCGGCCUGAGAGGGCGACCGGCCACACUGGGACUGAGACACGGCCCAGACUCCUGCGGGAGGCAGCAGUGGGGAAUAUUGCGCAAUGGGCGAAAGCCUGACGCAGCGACGCCGCGUGGGGGAUGACGGCCUUCGGGUUGUAAACCUCUUUUACCACUCACGCAGGCUCCACGUUUUCGUGGGGUUGACGGUAGGUGGGGAAUAAGGACCGGCUAACUACGUGCCAGCAGCCGCGGUAAUACGUAGGGUCCGAGCGUUGUCCGGAAUUAUUGGGCGUAAAGAGCUCGUAGGCGGCGUGUCGCGUCUGCUGUGAAAGACCGGGGCUUAACCCCGGUUCUGCAGUGGAUACGGGCAUGCUAGAGGUAGGUAGGGGAGACUGGAAUUCCUGGUGUAGCGGUGAAAUGCGCAGAUAUCAGGAGGAACACCGGUGGCGAAGGCGGGUCUCUGGGCCUUACCUGACGCUGAGGAGCGAAAGCAUGGGGAGCGAACAGGAUUAGAUACCCUGGUAGUCCAUGCCGUAAACGUUGGGCGCUAGGUGUGGGGACUUUCCACGGUUUCCGCGCCGUAGCUAACGCAUUAAGCGCCCCGCCUGGGGAGUACGGCCGCAAGGCUAAAACUCAAAGGAAUUGACGGGGGCCCGCACAAGCGGC
rnacentral:rRNA from 1 species